UGGGGAAUAUUGGACAAUGGGGGCAACCCUGAUCCAGCCAUGCCGCGUGAGUGAUGAAGGCCUUAGGGUUGUAAAGCUCUUUCGCCGGUGAAGAUAAUGACGGUAACCGGUAAAGAAGCCCCGGCUAACUUCGUGCCAGCAGCCGCGGUAAUACGAAGGGGGCUAGCGUUGUUCGGAAUUACUGGGCGUAAAGCGCGCGUAGGCGGACUAUUAAGUCAGGGGUGAAAUCCCGGGGCUCAACCUCGGAAUUGCCUUUGAUACUGGUAGUCUAGAGUCCGUGAGUGGUGAGUGGAACUCCGAGUGUAGUGGUGAAAUUCGUAGAUAUUCGGAGGAACACCAGUGGCGAGGGCGGCUCACUGGCUCGAUACUCACGCUGAGGUGCGAAAGUGUGGGGAGCAAACAGGAUUAGAUACCCGCGUAGUCC
rnacentral:rRNA from 1 species